AACGAACGCUGGCGGCAGGCCUAACACAUGCAAGUCGAACGCCCCGCAAGGGGAGUGGCAGACGGGUGAGUAACACGUGGGAACCUUCCCAACAGUACGGAAUAGCCCAGGGAAACUUGGAGUAAUACCGUAUAUUCCCGAGAGGGGAAAGAUUUAUCGCUGUUGGAUGGGCCCGCGUCGGAUUAGCUAGUUGGUGAGGUAACGGCUCACCAAGGCGGCGAUCCGUAGCUGGUUUGGGAGAAUGACCAGCCACACUGGGACUGAGACACGGACCCGACUCCUACGGGAGGCAGCAGUGGGGAAUCUUGGACAAUGGGCGCAAGCCUGAUCCAGCCAUGCCGCGUGAGUGACGAAGGCCUUAGGGUUGUAAAGCUCUUUUGCCGGGGACGAUAAUGACGGUACCCGGAGAAUAAGUCCCGGCUAACUUCGUGCCAGCAGCCGCCGUAA
rnacentral:rRNA from 1 species